AGCGAACGCUGGCGGCAGGCCUAACACAUGCAAGUCGAACGGAUCCUUCGGGAUUAGUGGCGGACGGGUGAGUAACACGUGGGAACGUGCCCUUUGGUUCGGAACAACUCAGGGAAACUUGAGCUAAUACCGGAUGUGCCCUUCGGGGGAAAGAUUUAUCGCCAUUGGAGCGGCCCGCGUCUGAUUAGCUAGUUGGUGAGGUAACGGCCCACCAAGGCAACGAUCAGUAGCUGGUCUGAGAGGAUGAUCAGCCACACUGGGACUGAGACACGGCCCAGACUCCUCCGGGAGGCAGCAGUGGGGAAUCUUGCGCAAUGGGCGAAAGCCUGACGCAGCCAUGCCGCGUGAAUGAUGAAGGUCUUAGGAUUGUAAAAUUCUUUCAGCGGGGACGAUAAUGACGGUACCCGCAGAAGAAGCUCCGGCUAACUUCGUG
rnacentral:rRNA from 1 species